UCCCUGGUAGUAUAUCGGUUAGUACACGCGCCUGUCAUUAUUCUGCUUCAGCGCGCGAAAGCUGGGUUCGACUCCCAGCCAGGGAG